UACAGAGGGUGCAAGCGUUAAUCGGAAUUACUGGGCGUAAAGCGCACGUAGGUGGCUUGAUAAGUCGGGCGUGAAAUCCCCGGGCUUAACCUGGGAAUUGCAUUCAAGACUGUCUUGCUAGAGUGUGGAAGAGGGAAGCGGAAUUCCAGGUGUAGCGGUGAAAUGCGUAGAUAUGACAUAGAACAUCGAUUGCGAAGGCAGCGCGCUACGCUAUUAUUGACACUGAGGCACGAAAGCGUGGGGAUCAAACAGG
rnacentral:rRNA from 1 species